UUGGUGGAAAAGUAAAUACUUUAGGAAGUAAAUGUUUUUUUUUUGUUGGAAUAGGAAGUAAAGGCAGUGGUCCAGUGCAUGUUUUCACUACCAAAGGCUUUAGGAAGAAUAGUAUCCCUAUUUAUUUGCAUAAAGUAUUCAAUAUGCAUGGUUUGCAUUUUUGUUCUUAGUUGGUUAUGCUAAAUUUUUUCACAUGUUGGGCCACCCCAAUCGAUUUAUAAUGCAGCAUUUGAUGACGUUCCAGAUGCAUUUUUUGAAGAGGUUUUUAAUUAUGAGUCACAGUUGACCCAAGGAUAUGUAGAACAAGUGCCUAACAUAGGAACUAUAAGAACUGUAGAUGUUCC
rnacentral:lncRNA from 1 species